AAACAUAUUUCUAAACUUGACGGAGAAAAUUGAAUUUGAUGAAGGAAUAACAGAAUUUUAAAUAAAAAAAGAACUAUCGUAAAAGCAAAAUGGAAUACAGCAAAAUUAAAGGUGGGAAACGGAAAACAUUUGUGUAUGUUGCAGGGGACUUUGGCUACAUCGAUAUGAAAAUGCCGAUUGAUUAGGAAGUUCAAGAAUUCAUUGAACAGGAACAAACUGUUGAUGAAAAAUCUCAAUCAAAUGGACAAGCUGCUGUGGUGGCAGACCAAUUGAAAAUGUCUGCAAAUUUUUCCUUGUCAACAAUCUUCAAGUUGUUGUUUUUCCUUGCCGCCAUCAUUUCCUAUGCCAGCAAUGUGCUGAAGCCAUUCAAAGUAGUGCUACUAAUCAAUGUCCAGUAUGCAGAGAACCAACAGCAGAUUUUAUAAAUGUGUUUAUUUAAUGUAUUAUUUAAUGUAAUAUUUAAUAUACUCUUGCAUAUAUUAAAAUUUUAAUUUACUUAACUGAUUCGAUUCUAGAAGAUUCUGUUCUAGA